UGCCAGCAGCCGCGGUAAUACGUAGGGUGCGAGCGUUAAUCGGAAUUACUGGGCGUAAAGCGCACGUAGGCGGACUUUUAAGUCAGAUGUGAAAUCCCGAGGCUCAACCUCGGAACUGCCCUCAAUACUACCAGUCUCGAGUUCGGGAGAGGUGAGUGGAAUUCCUAGUGUAGAGGUGAAAUUCGUAGAUAUUAGGAAGAACACCAGUGGCGAAGGCGGCUCACUGGCCCGAUACUGACGCUGAGGUGCGAAAGCGUGGGGAGCAAACAGGAUUAGAUA
rnacentral:rRNA from 1 species